ACUAAGAGAAGGGGCUUGUGAAAUGUAAUUGCAUGUGGUUAAAGGCCCCUGGGAAUGUUCUGGGUUGCAUGAUCUCUAACCACUUCUGAAUUUGUUGUUGAAAAUGGAUUUUCCCUUUAACGUGCUUUAUGACAAGUGGUUAGCAGGACUACUGACUUUUCACUGCAUUUUUCAUCAUUAACUUUGAAUCCUGUACUGCUGGUUACCAAUGAGGAGGGAAUGUUAUUGGAUCAGAAGCAAUCAAUUUCUUGUUUCUAGGGAUUCCAAUUAGCCAUCCCAGCUAGAGAUGAGCAGAUGAAGUGCAGCAUAAUGGAAAGACCUGGGAAUCUGGAGUCCUGCAUUGUCUCCUGGCUCUGCCACUGCUACUCUGAAUAACCUGGGAAGAUACAGUCUUCUGGGGAACUUAGAGCCAAGCCUGGAAAAAGUAGCACCUGGAGGCCCAGCAGCUGCAACAGCAACAGCAGCAGCAGCUUCAGGACAGAGCUGAGGGCUGCCAUUGUCUCUGCUUCUGUCUGAGAAACACCUGCCUACACCUGCAAGGAGAGAGAACUGUCCUGUCUGAAGCACCCUCCUGCUUAUACCCUCCAGGGCAGGAUGACGUCAGGCAGUUGCAAUUUUUUCUUCCCACCCCUUUCCAAAAGGAGAUUGUUUCAUGACUCUGGAACAAGAUUUCACCAGAAGUAAUUUCCUUGACAAGAGACUGCAAUUUAGAAGAAAAAGCUGGACAUGUUUGGAGAAAAGAAGAUUUAUGGUUGGCUUCAAGAAUUUGGGAGGACUGUCACGUGGAAGAGAGAUUUGAUUUCUUCUUCUUAGUAUCGCAGCAGAACUAGGAGCCAAGGUUGGAAAUUGCAAAAAGGACAAAGUUUAUGCAACUAGAAGCUCCUGGGCCAAUGAAAUCACAGGACACACACACAUACAUACAUACACACACACAAACACAAACAGGCAACAUGACAAAAAGCACUGUGGUAACAGGAGGGGAGGGUAUGCUGGCUCUAGAAGCAGGACGCUUAGUUCUGACAUCCAGCUCUGACCUAUUCUCCCUGGGUAGCUCUGGGCAAGGUGUUGUCACUUUCUGAGCCUUAGUUUCCUAAUCUGUAAUCAUAAGAAUACUUAACAUGGUGAAUCUUAAAGAAAGUGUACAAAUAAAAG